UACCGGCGGCUCGAGUGGUGGCCGCUAUUACUGGGCUUAAAGGGUCCGUAGCUGGAUUUACAAGUCCCUUGAGAAAUCCGCCGGCUUAACUGGCGGGCGUUCAGGGGAAACUGUAAUUCUAGGGACCGGGAGAGGUGAGAGGUACUGCCGGGGUAGGAGUGAAAUCCUGUAAUCCCGGUGGGACCACCAAUGGCGAAGGCAUCUCACUAGAACGGCUCCGACAGUGAGGGACGAAAGCUGGGGGAGCAAACCGGAUUAGAUACCCGGGUAGUCCCAGCUGUAAACGAUGCGCGUUAGGUGUAUCGGUGACCACGAGUCAUCGAGGUGCCGAAGGGAAACCGUGAAACGUGCCGCCUGGGAAGUACGGUCGCAAGGCUGAAACUUAAAGGAAUUGGCGGGGGAGCACCGCAACGGGAGGAGCGUGCGGUUCAAUUGGAUUCAACGCCGGA
rnacentral:rRNA from 1 species